rnacentral:lncRNA from 1 species
CCAUGGCCAGUGCCUGGCCACCGCUGGCUUGGCCACUGCGUGCUCGCCGCCCAAUCCUGACCAAUGGGUUGCCUGCAGCGUCACGUUAAAUCCACCUGCAACUGUAGUUCUUCCUCCUCCCUCUGUCCUUAGCGCAGAAGCAUCACCCUAUCUUCUUCCUCGACGCCCCCUGCUCCUCUCUCUACCGAGCUCCCAUUCUCCACGGCGUUUGGCAGCAGAGAGCCCUUCUCCCCAGCAGGAGCAGGGCCUCCAUGGCGUCCGACCCCUCUCCUUUCUCCUCCCCGCUCGGAGCUCUGCCAUAGCGCACACAAAUCCCUUCCCCCUCCAUUCCUAGGCGCAGGAAGUUCUCCCCCACGCCGUCCAGCUCCAGGCCGGAUCCAAUUCGUGCUAUCCCUGCUCGUCCAGAAUUUCUUGCCCCAAGUCCGGCAAUCCCCUCGCCGUGGAUUUCCUCGAGCUUGCCUCCCCAUGGUCGCCAACCAUCCUGCCCCCUGCCCCUGGUGCGCUGGGCGCCUAGUGCUCUGACCUCGACGGCCACCCUCCUCUCUGCUCGAGCAAUGCUAGGGACGUGUGGCAAGCCCUUGUUCCCAGCGUCGCGCCCUUGCCUCCAUCAACACUAAGACCCCGGUAGCGCCUGCCAUGGUCGCCGCAGGUCUCUGCUCCUUCCCCAAGCUCGCCCUCAUCUCCCAGGUCGCCACUUUCCUCUCCCUGCCCACAUCAUCGGAUUCUGCUCGCUGCGUGCUUGCCGGCAUGUCCGGGCGUGGCCCUGCAGAUUCAUCAUAGGUACCUCCUCGAACUCCUCCACACUGGUUGUGGACGGCAUUGGUAUCCCUCUGCUCCAGCAGCGUUGCGGCGCCCCGAGCUCCUCCUCCGCGUGCUGCCAUGGUCGGGGUCAGUCUCAUCCGACAACGCCAUGACUUCCACUCCGCUCUGUGGCGAGCAGCCCCUGCACCAUCCAUGCUCGUCGUGUGUUCGAGAGUUCACGCGCAAGUCUCUGCGUGGUGGCCGUGUCGCUGCAAGCUUGUGCCACGCACCCGGGCAUCGUGUCGCACCAAAUAGCAGCAGCAACACACCCUCAAGCCUCGCAUUGAACCUGCUCGACGAAAAGCGCAGCAAGCUGCGUGUCGUUCAUCCCUGCAGCAACACCAUUCUUCACUUCGCGUCAUACAUCGCAUAGCCUUCAUCGCUGCACAUUGUCCGCAUCGGCGCAGCAGCCCUCCCGUUCAUUCUCCACUCCCCUCGUCGCGUGUCAUCAAUCUCGUGCUUGCUGCGCAUCCCAUCCUCGUCGUCGUCAAAACCCUUGGUGAGCCCCUCGCUAGUACCCCCACUGUUUUUUUGAUCUCGGGUGCUUGAUAAAAUGUUUGAAUCACUGGGUGUUUUUAAUUGCAGCUAGAUGUUGUCGCUGCGCCUCGCGCGACACAUGAUUCGGUGAAACACCUAAAACCGUGGAGGCAUGCGCGACACGAGUCGGCCAGGUUGUUCGCAUUGAGUGAUUCACGAUUUGUUUUAUUUACAUAUUUGGUCGAUGAUGUGCAUGUGUUUAUAUGUGUGUGAAAAUAUAUUUGUAUGAAUGGACGCGUGUAGAGAAGAAAAUAAAGUAGAAAAGAACUCGGAUAUUUUUAUUUUGAUAGGAAAAUGUGCGAUGCGUUGUUUGAUGCGAAAACUAAGUUACAAAAUACGGAUUAUGUUUUGGGAAAUGCAUCGAUAUGUGUUUAUGUGAAAAGUGUAAUUGUUUUAUACAAUGUGAUGGGAUUCGUGAUUAUAUCGGGAAUAUAUUUAGUAAUGUGACGAGUAGUUUAGAAAAUGCUAGUUUGCGUGGAGAAUGUGUUAUUAAGACGUGAGUGUCGGAGUUCAUAUUAGUGGUCGCGCCACGUUGAUUGAAGUGUCUCGAGUGCACGCCACAAUAUGGUUGCAUGCGAGACGAGGUUAUGCGCACGAUGAGUUUAGUAAAAAUCCAUCGGUGUCACUGGUGUUAAGUUGAGGAUUAUUUGCGCGUGGAAAGUAAUAAUGUGUUUAAUUCUUAGAACUCUUAGUCGAUAGUAGAAAUUAUUUUGGCUUAUAUAGAGAGGUGGUGACAUACCAAAGUAGUCAUCGCUUCCUCUAUAUCUUGAGUCGGGUCAAUACACGUUAUGUGUUCAUGAUUUGGGAAGUAAGCGCAUGAUGGUUUCGAGUUAGAGAUUAGUGGUUUACGAUUCAUAUAAAUUGGUCGAUGUACGAAAAUACUUGUGAAUCUGUGUGUUUAUAAAAAUAUUGUAGUAUAUGUUGUGUCUUGGGUUGCGACGAUAAUAGGCAAGCCGACGUGUAUGUUAUUUAGCGGCUAUGUCAUUGCUCUAGUUAGCCAAAUUUUUAGAUGGUUUGGUUAAGUGCGUAAUCUCAAUAAAUUGUUUGUUUUAGUCUAAAUGUGUAUGGUUAUGGUCGCGGGUAAAAAUUUGUAGUGUUCAUGUGUUGUCUAAGUGAAAAUGCAAAUUAGUGUGUGAAGGGCGCAAUCGAUAUAGUUGUUGAUGGUGUAUGGUAAUUCUAGCGCACAAAAUAACUUGUAUAAAAUUAGUAAAUCUACUUGUUGGUCCUAAUUUGAUUGUUUUAACUCUAACAAACUGUAAAGUGUUAGAAUAAUUCAAGUCUAUAGAACAUGACAAUCCUUGAAUUAUAUAGGAGUUGACAUUUAAUUGUUGCUGUUUUAGACUGCACACGCUGUUUUCGCCGUGCUGUCUGUUUAAUAAACUAAAUCAUGUUUUCUGUAGAAAAGCCAUAUAGAAAAGUUGUAGAUAACUUUAUUAUCUUACUUUUGUUAAAAUUUGAUAGCCAUAAGUCUGAUCGUUUAGAAGUUGUGCUGUUCACAAAUUCAGUAACUGAAUCUGUCCAAAUUCUGUAUAGAUUUCAGAAACUGUAUUGUUUGCCUAAUUUAAUGUUACAUUCUGUUCAUGGUCGUUACAAGAAAGUUGUAGAUGCUUUUCUUAUCUCGGUUGUGUUAAAAUUUCACAACCAUAGGCCUGACAGUUUAAGAGUUAUGAAUUUUACAAACUGGUUGUUGUGUUCUGUCCACUGUCAGAACAGAUUUUGAAAACUGUAAUGUUUGAUUUGAUUAAACCUGGAAUCACUUCUUGGUGAUUAUAAAAGUUAUGUAGUACUUUUGCUAAGCUUUCUAAAAAGUCUUGGAUCACUCUUUUUGGUGAUCUAAAUAUUAAGUUAUGGAUGUUUAAAGUCUGAAGACUGAAUCUGUCCAAUUCUGGACAGCAAAGCCUUCUAGUGUCCUUUACCCUUGAUACAUAUUAAACCAGCCAGGGAUGUUUAUAAAUAAUUUGUAGAACAUUUAACUAGCUUUCCAGAAAGUCUAAGAUCACUUUGUUUAGAUGUCUGAAUCUUUAGUUGUGAAUUUUUGAAGUUGCAAGUCUGAAUCUAUCCGAAUCUGGACAGAGCUGUUGUGUUAGCACUAUUUAACCUUGUUAAGUGUCUAGUCACCUUGUUAUGACAAUACCAAAGUUGUGGAGCACUUUCUAAGCUUUCCAGAAAGUUCUAGUUUGAUAUUUUUGGACUAAUAAUUGAAGAGUUAUGAUUAAAACGAGUAAUUGUUGUGUUGCUGUCCAAAAAUCUGCAAGUGCGCAAUUAAUUGUUUAGUUCACCCUUUGACUAAAAAUGCUUAGUUAGCACUUAACGGACCUAGACUUGUAAUGUCUAAACUUAAGUUAACAUGUGUUCCAUGAUUAAUGUGCUUGCUUGCUGUAGUUGGUUGUGGAUAGGAGUUCCGUAGUUAUUGAUGCCUACAUCCUCUAUUAAACUUGUGCUUGGGAUGCUUUUGUAUGACCACUAGAAGAACUAAUGAAAAGUCGUAUCAAAUUAAAUAAAUGCUUGUACCCGUGAUGUUGUGUUUGUAGUGGCUAUGUAUAUGAUAGUGUUUGUCGGUUUCUUAGUAGUGUUAAAUUCGUAGGUCAAUAACGUAUGGCUAAUUAGUACCUACGUAUGAUCGUUGGCGAUACCGUGUCUUGCGCCUUAUAUCUAGCUCGCUGUCGUGCGUCCUUAUAUAUCUUGUGAUAUCUUUCAUUAUAUUCAUACAUAUGCAUCUUGCAUCUCAUUUAGGACCGAGAGAUAAUGAUCGUGCCAGUGAUGUGGUGACAACCACAAGAUGCAGUCGGUGGACGACCCAAGGAAGGAUGGACUUAACCAGUGGAUGCUCGCCAAGCGAGCACCUCCCCCA